AUUCAACCGACGAGUCUCAUAUAAGACGAAACGCGCUUACUGAAU
rnacentral:hammerhead_ribozyme from 1 species